CGGCGGACGGGUGAGUAACGCGUGGGUAACCUGCCUCGUACAGGGGGAUAACAGUUGGAAACGGCUGCUAAUACCGCAUAAGCGCACAGUACCGCAUGGUACGUGUGAAAAACUCCGGUGGUAUGAGAUGGACCCGCGUCUGAUUAGGUAGUUGGUGGGGUAACGGCCUACCAAGCCGACGAUCAGUAGCCGACCUGAGAGGGUGACCGGCCACAUUGGGACUGAGACACGGCCCAA
rnacentral:rRNA from 1 species